GGAUUAGAUACCCUGGUAGUCCACGCCGUAAACGAUGAUAACUAGCUGUCGGGGCUCUUAGAGCUUCGGUGGCGCAGCUAACGCAUUAAGUUAUCCGCCUGGGGAGUACGGCCGCAAGGUUAAAACUCAAAUGAAUUGACGGGGGCCUGCACAAGCGGUGGAGCAUGUGGUUUAAUUCGAAGCAACGCGCAGAACCUUACCAGCGUUUGACAUGUCCGGACGAUUUCGGGAGACCGAUCUCUUCCCUUCGGGGACUGGAACACAGGUGCUGCAUGGCUGUCGUCAGCUCGUGCC
rnacentral:rRNA from 1 species